UACAGAAAUUAAUGCAACAACAAAAAACUUUAUCGGAGAAAAUAGAAACAUUAAAGCAAUUAGACAAAAGUAUACACAUCCAAUUGUUGGAACUGAAAACCGAAUUAAAAGAAAUAAAAAACAGCUUAGAAGAAUUAAGGAAAGGUUUAACAUUUCACGUAAGCAUCCAACCAGAGAGCCAUGAUGAUUAAUAUACGGGAAUAAGCUUAGCAAUUACGUAAAAGAACAUUUAAUUAGAUUAAUUAGAUGGCAGGUUGAAUUACUUCACUCUUCUUAUGAAUUAUUUUCAAUAAAAGGUAAUAACAAUUGUCUUGCAGAUUUCUUGUCCAGAGAUGGAGGAGACAACUAACAUCCAAGAAUUAUCCGAAAGAUUUAAAGAGCUGCAAAAUUCAGUUGCAAUUAUGAAUCA
rnacentral:lncRNA from 1 species